rnacentral:rRNA from 1 species
GACGAACGCUGGCGGCGUGGAUUAGGCAUGCAAGUCGAACGGUAUGGACCUUUCGGGGUUCAGAGAGUGGCGAACGGGUGAGUAACACGUAGGUAAUCUACCCUCAAGACGGGGACAACCCAGGGAAACUUGGGCUAAUACCGGAUGUGUGUAGUGGCUAUUUUUCUGAUUAUCAUUAUUUACGUAAGUGAGUAAUAAUAAGAAGGGAAAGUGGUUAUUACAUAAAAGGUGGCGUAAGCUGCCGCUUGGGGAUGAGCCUGCGUCCUAUUAGUUAGUUGGUGAGGUAACGGCUUACCAAGGCGAUGAUAGGUAGGCGGCCUUAACGGGUGGUCGCCCACACUGGGAUUGAGAUACGGCCCAGACUCCUACGGGAGGCAGCAGUCGAGAAUAGUCUACAAUGGACGGAAGUCUGAUAGUGCGACGCCGCGUGAACGAAGAAUCCCUUCGGGGUGUAAAGUUCUUUUAUACGUGAGCAGUGUCCUUUAUAUUAAUAGUAUAAGGGGAGAGGAUAUUAGCGUAUGAAUAAGCAACGGCUAA